rnacentral:rRNA from 1 species
UCCGUAGGUGAACCUGCGGAAGGAUCAUUAAAGAGUAAGGGUGCUCAGCGCCCGACCUCCAACCCUUUGUUGUUAAAACUACCUUGUUGCUUUGGCGGGACCGCUCGGUCUCGAGCCGCUGGGGAUUCGUCCCAGGCGAGCGCCCGCCAGAGUUAAACCAAACUCUUGUUAUUUAACCGGUCGUCUGAGUAAAAAUUUUGAAUAAAUCAAAACUUUCAACAACGGAUCUCUUGGUUCUCGCAUCGAUGAAGAACGCAGCGAAAUGCGAUAAGUAAUGUGAAUUGCAGAAUUCAGUGAAUCAUCGAAUCUUUGAACGCACAUUGCGCCCCUUGGUAUUCCGAGGGGCAUGCCUGUUCGAGCGUCAUUACACCACUCAAGCUAUGCUUGGUAUUGGGCGUCGUCCUUAGUUGGGCGCGCCUUAAAGACCUCGGCGAGGCCACUCCGGCUUUAGGCGUAGUAGAAUUUAUUCGAACGUCUGUCAAAGGAGAGGAACUCUGCCGACUGAAACCUUUAUUUUUCUAGGUUGACCUCGGAUCAGGUAGGGAUACCCGCUGAACUUAAGCAUAUCAAUAAGCGGAGGA